rnacentral:pre_miRNA from 1 species
GUAUUACUCUCUCCGUCCGAAAAUACUUGUCAUCAAAAUGGAUAAAAAGAGAUGUAUCUAGAACUAAAAUAUGUCUAGAUACAUCCCCUUUUAUCCAUUUUGAUGACAAGUAUUUCCGGACGGAGGGAGUACUUC